rnacentral:rRNA from 1 species
AGAGUUUGAUCAUGGCUCAGGAUGAACGCUAGCUACAGGCUUAACACAUGCAAGUCGAGGGGAAACGACAUCGAAAGCUUGCUUUUGAUGGGCGUCGACCGGCGCACGGGUGAGUAACGCGUAUCCAACCUGCCCAUCACUUGGGGAUAACCUUGCGAAAGUAAGACUAAUACCCAAUGAUAUCUCUAGAAGGCAUCUGAAAGAGAUUAAAGAUUUANCGGUGAUGGAUGGGGAUGCGUCUGAUUAGCUUGUUGGCGGGGUAACGGCCACCAAAGCAACGAUCAGUAGGGGUUCUGAGAGGAAGGUCCCCACAUUGGAACUGAGACACGGUCCAACUCCUACGGAGGCA